UGGCAUAUUUUUUGUAGGGGUCACAUUUGCGGACCAUGUGUUGGGCGUCCUCGUAUAUAAUGGGGCGGUAAUAUCCUUGUCUGAGUAUUUUCUGCGCUAACCUACCUACCAGAUGAUUGUUGUAAAUGCCAUAAUAGAUUUCUAUCAUGAUAUACUCAGAUUCUGAUGGAUAAAGGCUUUAUAGUAGUGGGUGUGAAAACCCUU
rnacentral:lncRNA from 1 species